rnacentral:lncRNA from 1 species
CUAAAAAUGAGCUCAAAUGUGACCUUUACUUCGUUCAAUUACAACUCAAGCUUCCGGAGAUUAUCAUCUGAGUACUGGGUGUUAUUAUUUGUGUUUGAACUCCUACUUACAACAGUUAAAUAAUGGAAGUCUAUCGGAGCAAUGAAAUUUUAUCCCAACUUUAUUUUUUUCCCUUUUGCCAUUUGAAGUAUUUUCACCUAUCUACUACCUUUUGGACCUUUUCUUCAAUAUAACUCUCUGUUAGCUCGCUGGACAGGCCUUUGGUAUUGAUUAACCUGAUAUGGGAUGAAUUAGUAGCCCCAGC